GAGACAUGCAAGUCGUGGGAGAAAGUCGGGGCAACUCGGCGAGUAAACCGGCGCACGGGUGAGUAACGCGUGGAUAACCUGCCUUGGAGUCCGGGAUAACCCGUCGAAAGACGGACUAAUACUGGAUAAGACCACGGGGAGUUCGCUUCCUGAGGUAAAAGGUGGCCUCUGCUCCUGCAAGCUAUUACUUCAAGAGGGGUCCGCGUCCUAUCAGCUGGUUGGUGAGGUAACAGCUCACCAAGGCAAAGACGGGUAGCUGGUCUGAGAGGAUGGUCAGCCACACUGGGACUGAGACACGGCCCAGAGUCCUACGGGAUGCAGCAGUCAGGAAUAUUGCGCAAUGGAGGAAACUCUGACGCAGCGACGCCGCGUGGGUGAUGAAGGCCUUCGGGUCGUAAAGCCCUGUCGGAGGGAAAGAAAAGUCUGUUGGCUAAUAUCCAGCGGACUCUUGACGGUACCCUCAAAGGAAGCACCGGCUAACUCCGUGCCAGCAGCCGCGGUAAGACGGAGGGUGCAAGCGUUGUUCGGAUUGACUGGGCGUAAAGGGCGUGU
rnacentral:rRNA from 1 species